GUUCGUAAGGAAUUUGACAUUGACUUUAUAACAAUGGCGUUUAGUGGCGGACUGGUGAGUAACGCGUGAGCAACCUGCCUAUUAGAGGGGAAUAACAGUGAGAAAUCAUUGCUAAUACCGCAUAUGCCAUGAGUAUCGCAUGAUACAAAUGGGAAAGGAGCAAUCCACUAGUAGAUGGGCUCGCGUCUGAUUAGAUAGUUGGUGGGGUAACGGCCUACCCAAGUCGACGAUCAGUAGCCGGACUGAGAGGUUGAACGGCCACAUUGGGACUGAGAUACGGCCCAGACUCCUACGGGAGGCAGCAGUCGGGAAUAUUGCGCAAUGGAGGAAACUCUGACGCAGUGACGCCGCGUAUAGGAUGAAGGUCUUCGGAUUGUAAACUAUUGUCGUUAGGGAAGAAAAGGACAGUACCUAAGGAGGAAGCUCCGGCUAACUACGUGCC
rnacentral:rRNA from 1 species